rnacentral:rRNA from 1 species
UUCCAGACUCCUACGGGAGGCAGCAGUGAGGAAUAUUGGUCAAUGGCCGAGAGGCUGAACCAGCCAAGUCGCGUGAGGGAAGACGGCCCUACGGGUUGUAAACCUCUUUUGUCGGGGAGCAAAGCGAACCACGUGUGGUUCAUUGAGAGUACCCGAAGAAAAAGCAUCGGCUAACUCCGUGCCAGCAGCCGCGGUAAUACGGAGGAUGCGAGCGUUAUCCGGAUUUAUUGGGUUUAAAGGGAGCGUAGGUGGAUUGUUAAGUCAGUUGUGAAAGUUUGCGGCUCAACCGUAAAAUUGCAGUUGAAACUGGCAGUCUUGAGUACAGUAGAGGUGGGCGGAAUUCGUGGUGUAGCGGUGAAAUGCUUAGAUAUCACGAAGAACUCCGAUUGCGAAGGCAGUUCACUGGACUGCAACUGACACUGAGGCUCGAAAGUGUGGGUAUCAAACAGGAUUAGAUACCCCGGUACA